AUCGGAAUCACUUAUGGUGGUUGUCACAAUGGAGGUGCGUCAUGGUUAUUGGUGGUUGGUCAUCUAUAUAUUUUUAUAAUAAUAUUAUGUAUUUUACCUAUUUUUUACAUAUUUUUUAUUAAAUUUUAUGCAUUGUUUGUAUUUUUAAAUAGUUUUUAUCGUACUUGUUUUAUAAAAUAUUUAUUAUUUUAUGUGUUAUAUUAUUACUUGAUGUAUUGGAAAUUUUCUCCAUUGUUUUUUCUAUAUUUAUAAUAAUUUUCUUAUUUUUUUGUAUUUUAUUAUGUAUUUUUUCGUUUUAUAAUAAAUAUUUAUUAAAAAAAAUAUUAUUUUUUGUAAAAUAUAUCAUUUACAAUGUUUAAAAGUCAUUUGUGAAUAUAUUAGCUAAGUUGUACUUCGGUUUGUGCAUUUUGGUGUUGUACAUGUCUAUUAUGAUUCUCUGG
rnacentral:misc_RNA from 1 species